rnacentral:rRNA from 1 species
UGGGGAAUCUUGGACAAUGGGCGCAAGCCUGAUCCAGCCAUGCCGCGUGAGCGAUGAAGGCCUUAGGGUUGUAAAGCUCUUUCAACGGUGAAGAUGAUGACGGUAGCCGUAGAAGAAGCCCCGGCUAACUUCGUGCCAGCAGCCGCGGUAAUACGAAGGGGGCAAGCGUUGUUCGGAAUUACUGGGCGUAAAGGGCGUGUAGGCGGUCUAAUCAGUCAGAGGUGAAAGCCCUGGGCUCAACCCAGGAAUUGCCUUUGAUACUGUUAGACUAGAGUUCGGGAGAGGGUAGUGGAAUUCCCAGUGUAGAGGUGAAAUUCGUAGAUAUUGGGAAGAACACCAGUGGCGAAGGCGGCUACCUGGACCGAUACUGACGCUGAGGCGCGAAAGCGUGGGGAAGC